UACGUAGGGGGCAAGCGUUGUCCGGAUUUAUUGGGCGUAAAGAGCGUGUAGGCGGCUGGGUAGGUCCGUUGUGAAAACUCGAGGCUCAACCUCGAGACGCCGAUGGAAACCCUCCAGCUAGAGUCCGGAAGAGGAGAGUGGAAUUCCUGGUGUAGCGGUGGAAUGCGCAGAUAUCAGGAGGAACACCGGUGGCGAAGGCGGGUCUCUGGGCAGUAACUGACGCUGAGGAGCGAAAGCGUGGGGAGCGAACAGG
rnacentral:rRNA from 1 species